UACGUAGGGUGCAAGCGUUAUCCGGAAUUAUUGGGCGUAAAGAGCUCGUAGGCGGUUUGUCGCGUCUGCUGUGAAAACUGGAGGCUCAACCUCCAGCCUGCAGUGGGUACGGGCAAACUAGAGUGCGGUAGGGGAGAUUGGAAUUCCUGGUGUAGCGGUGGAAUGCGCAGAUAUCGGGAGGAACAUCAGUGGCGCAAGCGGCGCCCUGGCCUUAGCCUGACGCUCAGGGGCGAAAGCGUGGGGAGCGAACGGG
rnacentral:rRNA from 1 species